CCUACGUGAGGCAGCAGUGAGGAAUAUUGGUCAAUGGGCGCGAGCCUGAACCAGCCAAGUAGCGUGAAGGAUGACUGCCCUACGGGUUGUAAACUUCUUUUAUAAAGGAAUAAAGUGAGGCACGUGUGCCUUUUUGUAUGUACUUUAUGAAUAAGGAUCGGCUAACUCCGUGCCAGCAGCCGCGGUAAUCCGGAGGAUCCGAGCGUUAUCCGGAUUUAUUGGGUUUAAAGGUAGCGUAGAUGGGUUGUUAAGUCAGUUGUGAAAGUUUGCGGCUCAACCGUAAAAUUGCAAUUGAUACUGGCAGUCUUGAGUACAGUUGAGGUAGGCGGAAUUCGUGGUGUAGCGGUGAAAUGCUUAGAUAUCACGAAGAACUCCGAUUGCGAAGGCAGCUUACUAAACUGCCACUGACAUUGAUGCUCGAAAGUGUGGGUAUCAAACAGGAUUAGAUACCCGAGUAGUC
rnacentral:rRNA from 1 species